rnacentral:rRNA from 1 species
UGGGGAAUAUUGCACAAUGGGCGCAAGCCUGAUGCAGCCAUGCCGCGUGUAUGAAGAUGGCCUUCGGGUUGUAAAGUACUUUCAGCGGGGAGGAAGGGAGUAAAGUUAAUACCUUUGCUCAUUGACGUUACCCGCAGAAGAAGCACCGGCUAACUCCGUGCCAGCAGCCGCGGUAAUACGGAGGGUGCAAGCGUUAAUCGGAAUUACUGGGCGUAAAGCGCACGCAGGCGGUUUGUCAAGUCGGAUGUGAAAUCCCCGGGCUCAACCUGGGAACUGCAUUCGAAACUGGCAGGCUAGAGUCUUGUAGAGGGGGGUAGAAUUCCAGGUGUAGCGGUGAAAUGCGUAGAGAUCUGGAGGAAUACCGGUGGCGAAGGCGGCCCCCUGGACAAAGACUGACGCUCAGGUGCGAAAGCGUGGGGAGCAAACAGG